rnacentral:rRNA from 1 species
UGAGGAAUAUUGGUCAAUGGACGGAAGUCUGAACCAGCCAUGCCGCGUGCAGGAAGAAUGCUCUAUGAGUUGUAAACUGCUUUUGUACUAGGGUAAACUCAGAUACGUGUAUCUGACUGAAAGUAUAGUACGAAUAAGGAUCGGCUAACUCCGUGCCAGCAGCCGCGGUAAUACGGAGGAUUCAAGCGUUAUCCGGAUUUAUUGGGUUUAAAGGGUGCGUAGGCGGUUUUGUAAGUUAGAGGUGAAAUUCCGGGGCUUAACUCCGGCACUGCCUCUAAUACUGCGAGGCUAGAGAGUAGAUGCGGUAGGCGGAAUGUGUGGUGUAGCGGUGAAAUGCUUAGAGAUCACACAGAACACCGAUUGCGAAAGCAGCUUACCAAUCUAUGUCUGACGUUGAGGCACGAAAGCGUGGGGAGCAAACAGG